CCUGCCCCCUAGAGAUGUUGCAGGUGUGGCUUCUGUGUCACAUGUCUGUCAGCAGGUGGCAGAAAAGAAAGAAGCUGUCUAUACCCAGAGUUCUGACCCAUGAACAUCCCUGAAAAAAAGUGAGCCUGAAAUG